rnacentral:rRNA from 1 species
UCAAGAACUUUCCGCAAUGCACGCAAGUGUGACGGAGCGAUGCCGCGUGAUGGAUGAAGGCUUUCGGGUCGUAAACAUCUUUUCUCGAUGAGGAAGCUUAUUGACGUUAAUCGAGGAAUAAGGGGCUCCUAAUCACGUGCCAGCAGGAGCGGUAAUACGUGAGCCCCGAGCGUUAUCCGGAAUUAUUGGGUGUAAAGGGUGCGUAGGUGGUUGUGUUAGUCGUGGGUGAAAGACCGGGGCCUAACCUCGGGAACGCCUGCGAAACGGCACGACUAGAGUAUGUCAGAGGCAUGUGGAACUCUCGGUGUAGGGGUGAAAUCCGUUGAUAUCGAGGGGAACACCAAAAGCGAAGGCAGCAUGCUGGGACAUUACUGACACUGAGGCACGAAACCCUGGGUAG